UAGGACGGUCAUAGGGGCCUGGUUCUACCCGUUCCCAUCUUGAACACGGAAGUCAAGCAAGCCUCCGUUCUGGAUUGUACUGCAUUCACGUGCGGGAACUUCAGAAAGCUGUCCAAC
rnacentral:rRNA from 1 species